GUUCAUCCCCACUAUCCUAUUUCUCUCAACUUGCAAGCUAUCCAACUCAGCAGCUUUGCCACAUCAGCAGCUUUGCCACAUCAGCAAUAACUCUUAUUUAUCUUCACUUGCCAGCUUGCCACAUCAGCAAAAAAAAUUCAAGAAGCCGUGCUGUCUUUUGUUUCAGGGGUAAAAAAAUCAUGCUGGUAGCCGAAGCGAGAGCCUCUUUGGGCUUCCGUAACUGAUGAGGCGGCGUAAUAACCGAUAAACAGAAGCCCAAGAGAGGCCCACCGGUGGAUCUCUUCUUAUCCCUUCCUCUUCCUGGUAGCAGAACAGGCGAUGCCACCCACGCACCAUCGAUGCCUUGCAGCCGACUGAUCCGGGGUUCUUCCACGCGGGCGAGCAGAGGCACCCCAUGGCGCCACCUCCUCCUCUCCUUCUCCUGGCGCGCGAAGACCUCGACGGAGCGACCUCCAUCGCGUCAUCGAUCUGGCCGCUGCCUCACCUGCGGCUCAAUCUGAUCUGGGAGAGAUGGUGAGGGGUGGGGGCGGCGGAGUAAGGGGAAAGGGAGAGGGAGAUCCGGUGCAGGACUACCGCGCUGCAGACUUGAGGCACCCAACCCCGGCCACCUCGACGACUCUGCCUCCUCAAGGACGACCUCCACCACCUCCCUGCUGCCCAGAAGCGACGAGGCCGCCGCCUCUCGGCAACUUCCCGCAGAAAUUCCCCUUCAGAUUUUUUUUUUGAAUUUUAAAUUCCCCUUCAGAUAGUGGAGCGGCAUCGCUCCCAUAGUCUUCAGCAUCAGGUUGGUGUCUGCACCUUUGCUCCAAAAUUGUGUCAUGCCUGCCAGUUCAUGCAAAGUUAAUCUGAUGUUCCCGCUUGCAUUAUAUUGAUCUCAAAAGCAUAUAUUAUAGGAUUACUGAUCCAUACCAUUAUGAUUAUUUCAGUGUCGUCACAGAUCCGUUCUCUUUUUCAUCAAGUUGGCUGGGGGCUUUGGCCACAUGACAACUUUCAUUUGAAAUAUAGAAGAUAUGAAUCAGUGAAGUUGAUGUCAUACCACUCAUGUUUCGGCACUGUGCGAACAAACUUUGAGAUCUAUAUUGCCAUCCCAACAGAUGAAAAAUACUAUGAUGGGUAUAUCAUUGACAACCAAUGGUUUUUUUAUGCUUGAAAAAUACUUCAUCGCUGCAAUAUGAUGCAGGGCUCCUGACUCCAUGGCGUGCCUUAGUCUUUUGGCGGGCAUAUUUAAAGUUGAGGGAUCUUUUAUUACAUUUCAAUUUGCUUUGGAAAUGUUCUGCCGGCUCAAGUGCUCAUGUCAAGGAAUAUAGCUCUAUUUUUCUUAGAUUUUUCAUUUGCCUUGCAAUGCUAAUGGAGAGAAGGCAACAAAAUUAUUCGAGGGAUAGAGAUUGUUAACGAAUAGAUCAACAAAUUAUUUGCCAUGGAAAUUGCUAUUUGGAGACCUGGUGCAUUCGGAAAGUCUGUAACGACCAGGUCUUGCAUCAUGUACUUCCAAACUUUGGUUGGUGCAGGAUUCCCGAUAGCAGUAGCACCUACACAUAGAACUGUACUGGAGAGUGAAAAGUAAUUUGCUCUUUCCCCAACUCAUAACAUUAUUCCAUGUGACUGAGAGUAAUCUUAUCAUCAAAAUUAUCAUUUUA